rnacentral:rRNA from 1 species
GGCGAUCGAAAAGAUUAAGCCAUGCAUGUAUAAGUUUAAUCGUUUUAACGAGAAACCGCGAACGGCUCAUUACAAUGGCCAUGAUUUACUUGAUCUUGAUUAUCUAAAUGGAUAACUGUGGAAAAGCUAGAGCUAAUACAUGCACCAAAGCUUUGUCCUCUCGGAAAAGCGCAUUUAUUAGAACAAAACCACGCGGCUUCGGCUGCUUCUUGUUGACUCAGAAUAACUAAGCUGACCGCAUGGCCUUGUGCCGGCGGCGUGUCUUUCAAGCGUCCACAUUAUCAACUUGACGGGAGCAUAAUCGACUCCCGUGGUGGUGACGGAUAACGGAGGAUCAGGGUUCGACUCCGGAGAAGGGGCCUGAGAAAUGGCCACUACGUCUAAGGAUGGCAGCAGGCGCGCAAAUUACCCACCCUCGGCUCGAGGAGGUAGUGACGAGAAAUAACGAGAUCGUUCUCUUUGAGGCCGGUCAUCGGAAUGGGUACAAUUUAAACCCUUUAACGAGUAUCAAGCAGAGGGCAAGUCUGGUGCCAGCAGCCGCGGUAAUUCCAGCUCUGCUAAUACAUAGAAUUAUUGCUGCGGUUAAAAAGCUCGUAGUUGGAUUCGUAUCGGUACCUUGGAACCCUUCGGGUGUUUCUGGGUGUUAUCGAUUUAUCGUAAUGUUCGGUUUUGAGUCCUUAACAGGAUUUUUAACAGUCAUUGCAAGUUUACUUUGAACAAAUCAGAGUGCUUCAAACAGGCGUUUUCGCUUGAAUGAUCGUGCAUGGAAUAAUAGAAAACGAUUUCGGUUCAGUUUUAUUGGUUUUACGGACUGAGAUAAUGGUUAACAGAGACAAACGGGGGCAUUUGUAUGGCCCCGUGAGAGGUGAAAUUCUUGGACCGUGGCCGGACAAACUACAGCGAAAGCAUUUGCCAAGAAUGUCUUCAUUAAUCAAGAACGAAAGUCAGAGGUUCGAAGGCGAUCAGAUACCGCCCUAGUUCUGACCGUAAACGAUGCCAACUAGCGAUCCGCUGAUGGAAAUUAUAUUGCCUUGGUGGGGAGCUUCCCGGAAACGAAAGUCUUCCGGUUCCGGGGGAAGUAUGGUUGCAAAGCUGAAACUUAAAGGAAUUGACGGAAGGGCACCACCAGGAGUGGAGCCUGCGGCUUAAUUUGACUCAACACGGGGAAACUCACCCGGCCCGGACACUGUGAGGAUUGACAGAUUGAUAGCUUUUUCAUGAUUCAGUGGAUGGUGGUGCAUGGCCGUUCUUAGUUCGUGGAGUGAUUUGUCUGGUUUAUUCCGAUAACGAGCGAGACUCUAACCUACUAAAUAGUUGGUACAUACUCUUUGUGUAUACAGCUUCUUAGAGGGAUUUGCGGCGUUCAGCCGAAAGAAAUUGAGCAAUAACAGGUCUGUGAUGCCCUUAGAUGUCCGGGGCUGCACGCGCGCUACACUGGCAAAAUCAACGUGCUUGUCCUACCCUGAAAGGGGCGGGUAAACCAUUGAAAAUUUGCCGUGAUUGGGAUCGGAAAUUGCAAUUAUUUUCCGUGAACGAGGAAUUCCAAGUAAGUGCGAGUCAUCAGCUCGCGUUGAUUACGUCCCUGCCCUUUGUACACACCGCCCGUCGCUGCCCGGGACUGAGCCAUUUCGAGAAAUUUGGGGACCGUUGAUUUAAUUUAUCUAAAUUAUUUUGAUGGAAACCAAUUUAAUCGCAGUGGCUUGAACC